UCUAGUUGGAAAAAGUGGUGUUUAUACAACCAAUAAGGAAUCAAAGUCUAUAAGGUCAGUAAGAGGGGUCAUGAACAGACACCAUGGGAGUGGAGAGGAGCGAGAGAUGAAUUCUGAUUUAGGGAAAUUAAGAGACAUUUUAGGAGGAGCUUGUCCUAAUUAAGGCUCUAAAGUCAGAUAAAAAAUUUACAUAAUAAAAAAUAAACCAGAGACUCCUCAAACUGGAGGUGGCGGAAACAAAGAGCAGCACAGAAAAGCGAGUCCCCGCACUAAGACAGAAGAGUGAAGACUGGGUGGCCAGCAUGGUGGAGCUGAGGUUGAAGUCUUCAGAGUGUUCCUGUUUCCUUUCGCCUUUGAAAUGGCAGUGUCUGGGAUAGAUGGUGUCCGACUUGCUAUGCCAAAUGGGGUACAGAGACAUGGCACCAUCUGCAGACCAGGAAGGAGGAAGGAGGCCCUCAGUAGACACCAGAUCUGCCAGCAUCUUCAUCUUCCCAGGCUCCAGAACUUUGGGAAGUAACAUUUGUUGCUCAAGCCACCCAGCUUAAGGCAUUUUAUUAUAGGAUCCUGAACUAAGACACCAUGAAUGUGACCUUCUAUAGCAUUAGGGUCUUUGUAGAUGUAAUUAAGCUAAAAGUCUUGAGAUGAGGAUGUCAUCCUGGAUUAUUUGGGCAAACCUACCUCUAAUGCUAUAACCAAAUGCCAUAAACUGGGUGGCUUAAAUAAAAUAUGCACGAAGGGCAAGAGAGACAGAAGAAGAGGAGGUGAUGUGAGCAUGGAGGUAGAUGUUGGAGUGAUGUGGCCACAAGACAGAACAUCAAAAGGCACCAGAAGCCAGAAGCAAAGAAUGGAUUCACUCUUUGAGUUUCCAGAGAAGGUGUGUUGCUGCUCACACCUUCAUUUUGGGCUUCUGGCUUCCAGAAGUUUGAGAGAACAAAUUCUUGCUAUCUUAAAAUUUUUUUUUUUUUUUCAUUUCCAUAGGUUUUGGGGGAACAGGUGGUAUCUGGUUACAUAAAUUCUUUAGUGGUGAUUUGUGAGAUUUUGGUUCACCCAUCACCAGAGCAAUCCACUGAAUCCAAUUUGUAAUCUUUUAUCCCUCACCCCCAUCCUGCCCUUUCCAACAAGUUCCCAAUGUCCAUUGUAUCAUUCUUAUGCCUUUGCAUCUUCAUAGCUUAGCUCCUACUUAUGAAUGAGAACAUAUGAUGUUCAGUUUUCCACUCCUGAGUGACUUCAUUUAGAAUAAUAGUCUCCAUUCCCACCUAGGUUGCUGCAAAUGCCAUUAAUUUAUUCAUUUUUAUGGCUGAGUAGUAUUCCAUGGUGUGUGUGUGUGUGUGUGUGUGUGUGUGUGUGUGUGUACAUAUAUAUCAUAGUUCCUUUACCAACCUGUUGAUUGAUGGCAUUUGGGAUUAUUCCACAAUCCACCCAGAUUAUAGUAAUUUGUUACAACAGCCACAGAAAAAUAACACAAGAGGUGUAUGCAUAUUUUAGGUUUUGUGGUUGUCAUUCAUUUUAAUGACUGGAACAGACAAUUGGUCAAAAUCAAUUUUAGUAAUGUGAUUGCCUUCCUAGAGUGUCAUUGAGCUGGAUGUUGGAGAACUAAUUAUAAUUUCUGUUCCACAAUGACUGUUUUUACAUUAUGUUUAGCCAUGAUUUACUACAGGAAUUUUAUUCAUUUUAUUUCUCCAUGGCAGCGUCACACUUCCCUAAUAAAUGUGACACCUUUUGCAUGGUGACUAUGUGGUAUUAAUGAAGCCAGUCUCCUCCUUACUCACCUGAUGUAUAAAUCUAAUGUUAAUCAAAUGCCUGUUAUUAGCCCAGCAUUGGAACAGUCAUCAGCAAUGAAGCAAUGAGAAAACCCAACGGGCUCCUGGGUUGAUUGAGGUAAUCUUUCAGUAGAA
rnacentral:lncRNA from 1 species